rnacentral:rRNA from 1 species
UACGUAGGGGGCAAGCGUUGUCCGGAAUCAUUGGGCGUAAAGAGCGCGUAGGCGGUCCGGUAAGUCGGUUGUGAAAACUGGGGGCUCAACCCUUGAAAGCCGGCCGAUACUGUCGGACUAGAGUCCGGAAGAGGCGAGUGGAAUUCCCGGUGUAGCGGUGAAAUGCGCAGAUAUCGGGAGGAACACCAAUGGCGAAGGCAGCUCGCUGGGACGGUACUGACGCUGAGACGCGAAAGCGUGGGGAGCAAACAGG